rnacentral:rRNA from 1 species
CCUGGAAACAGAUGCUAAUACCGGAUAACAACAGAUGAUGCCUAUCAACUGUUUAAAAGAUGGUUCUGCUAUCACUCUUGGAUGGACCUGCGGUGCAUUAGCUAGUUGGUAGGGUAACGGCCUACCAAGGCGAUGAUGCAUAGCCGAGUUGAGAGACUGAUCGGCCACAUUGGGACUGAGACACGGCCCAAACUCCUACGGGAGGCAGCAGUA